rnacentral:rRNA from 1 species
GGCCCCGCACAAGCGGUGGAGCAUGUGGUUUAAUUCGAUGCAACGCGAAGAACCUUACCAAGCCUUGACAUCCUCGGAACUUUCCAGAAAUGGAUUGGUGCCUUCGGGAACCGAGUGACAGGUGCUGCAUGGCUGUCGUCAGCUCGUGUCGUGAGAUGUUGGGUUAAGUCCCGCAACGAGCGCAACCCUUAUCCUAUGUUGCCAGCAUUUAGUUGGGGACUCGUAGGAGACUGCCGGUGAUAAACCGGAGGAAGGUGAGGACGACGUCAAGUCAUCAUGGCCCUUACGAGUAGGGCUACACACGUGCUACAAUGGGAAGUACAGAGGGACGCCAAAGCGUGAGCUGGAGCUAA